GAUGAACGCUGGCGGCGUGCCUAAUACAUGCGAGUCGAGCGAACGGACGAGAAGCUUGCUUCUCUGAUGUUAGCGGCGGACGGGUGAGUAACACGUGGAUAACCUACCUAUAAGACUGGGAUAACUUCGGGAAACCGGAGCUAAUACCGGAUAAUAUUUUGAACCGCAUGGUUCAAAAGUGAAGGACGGUCUUGCUGUCACUUAUAGAUGGAUCCGCGCUGCAUUAGCUAGUUGGUAAGGUAACGGCUUACCAAGGCAACGAUGCAUAGCCGACCUGAGAGGGUGAUCGGCCACACUGGAACUGAGACACGGUCCAGACUCCUACGGGAGGCAGCAGUAGGGAAUCUUCCGCAAUGGGCGAAAGCUUGACGGAGCAACGCCGCGUGAGUGAUGAAGGUCUUCGGAUCGUAAAACUCUGUUAUUAGGGAAGAACAUAUGUGUAAGUAACUGUGCACAUCUUGACGGUACCUAAUCAGAAAGCCACGGCUAACUACGUG
rnacentral:rRNA from 1 species